rnacentral:rRNA from 1 species
ACAGAGGUCCCAAGCGUUGUUCGGAUUUACUGGGCGUAAAGGGUGCGUAGGCGGUGGGUUAAGUCUGACGUGAAAUCUUCAAGCUCAACUUGGAAACUGCGUCGGAUACUAGCUUGCUUGAGGAAUGGAGGGGAGACUGGAAUACUUGGUGUAGCAGUGAAAUGCGUAGAUAUCAAGUGGAACACCAGUGGCGAAGGCGAGUCUCUGGACAUUUCCUGACGCUGAGGCACGAAAGCCAGGGGAGCAAACGG